AUUGAACGCUGGCGGCAUGCUUUACACAUGCGAGUCGAACGGUAACAGGCCGCAAGGUGCUGACGAGUGGCGAACGGGUGAGUAAUGCAUCGGAACGUGCCCAGUCGUGGGGGAUAACGCAGCGAAAGCUGCGCUAAUACCGCAUACGAUCUAUGGAUGAAAGCGGGGGACCGUAAGGCCUCGCGCGAUUGGAGCGGCCGAUGUCAGAUUAGGUAGUUGGUGGGGUAAAGGCUCACCAAGCCGACGAUCUGUAGCUGGUCUGAGAGGACGACCAGCCACACUGGGACUGAGACACGGCCCAGACUCCUACGGGAGGCAGCAGUGGGGAAUUUUGGACAAUGGGGGCAACCCUGAUCCAGCAAUGCCGCGUGCAGGAAGAAGGCCUUCGGGUUGUAAACUGCUUUUGUACGGAACGAAACGGCUCUGGUUAAUACCCGGGGCUAAUGACGGUACCGUAAGAAUAAGCACCGGCUAACUACGUGCCAGCCGCCGCGGUAAUAC
rnacentral:rRNA from 1 species